CUGCAUCUUGUGCCAACCACCUAUCUCAUCCUGUCACUAAGAAUGCCUAACCUCCAGGGAAUGCAGCCCAGCAGGUCUCAGCCUCAUUUUACCCAGCCCCUAUUCAAGAUGGAGUCUCUCUGGUUCCAACGCCUCUGACACAGCCUUUUCCCAGGCGGCUAGCCUCCUCCCUCACCUCCUGCAGUCAUACCUUUAACUCCUAGAAUAGGCAUGACUCCUUCCUAUCCAGGACUGUUGCCUGUGCUGUUUUCUCUGCCAGGAAAGCUCUUCUCCCCAUUCCUUAGUUGGCUGCUUCCUUCUCAUGCUUCAGGUUUCUUUUUAAGUGUCCCCUCUUCAGAGAGACCCUGCCUGACCUCCUAAAAUGGAUGCCUCCAACCACCUUUCCCACCAUCCACCCAUGCUGCCAUUUUUCCUUCACAAGAUGCAAUUAUAUACUUAUUUGUGUCUUUAUUUAUUUUUUCAUCUGUUUCCCCACCAGGUUAUAAACUUCAACAAGGUAGAGAUCGUGUCCAUCUUGUUCACAGCCGAAGUUGCAGCACCUAGCACAGUGCCUGGCACAUGUUGUGGAACUUGGCGCUCAGAGAGAGUCCUGAUGUGCCAGAGACCACACAGACAAGCAGUCCAGGGUUGGGACUGGUGCCAGCCAGGUAGGCUCCUCUGAAAAGCCCAGUCUCUUUAGGAGCUGAUUGCCCCCAAGCUGAGAUUCAGCUGGACCAUGAAUGAACCGUGUGACCUUUGGCAAGUCUUGGCUUCUCAACUGUGAACCGGAGCUGAUAAUGCCCACUUGUGUCUCAUGUGCCCUGAACAAUGCCUGGCACUU
rnacentral:lncRNA from 10 species